rnacentral:rRNA from 1 species
UACGUAGGGGGCAAGCGUUGUCCGGAAUUAUUGGGCGUAAAGCGCGUGUAGGCGGUCCGGUAAGUCCGCUGUGAAAGUCGGGGGCUCAACCCUCGGAUGCCGGUGGAUACUGUCGGGCUUGAGUACGGAAGAGGCGAGUGGAAUUCCCGGUGUAGCGGUGAAAUGCGCAGAUAUCGGGAGGAACACCUAUGGCGAAGGCAGCUCGCUGGGACGUUACUGACGCUGAGACGCGAAAGCGUGGGGAGCAAACAGG